AUUGAACGCUGGCGGCAUGCCUUACACAUGCAAGUCGAACGGCAGCACGGAGCUUGCUCUGGUGGCGAGUGGCGAACGGGUGAGUAAUAUAUCGGAACGUACCCUGGAGUGGGGGAUAACGUAGCGAAAGUUACGCUAAUACCGCAUACGAUCCAAGGAUGAAAGCAGGGGACCUUCGGGCCUUGUGCUCCUGGAGCGGCCGAUAUCUGAUUAGCUAGUUGGUGGGGUGAAGGCCUACCAAGGCAUCGAUCAGUAGCUGGUCUGAGAGGACGACCAGCCACACUGGAACUGAGACACGGUCCAGACUCCUACGGGAGGCAGCAGUGGGGAAUUUUGGACAAUGGGGGCAACCCUGAUCCAGGAAUGCCGCGUGAGUGAAGAAGGCCUUCGGGUUGUAAAGCUCUUUUGUCAGGGAAGAAAAGGGUGCGGCUAAUAUCUGCGCCUCAUGACGGUACCUGAAGAAUAAGCACCGGCUAACUACGUGCCAGCCGCCGCGGUAA
rnacentral:rRNA from 1 species